UAGAAAAAUAGAUAAAAAAUCGACAUAAAAUAGACAAAAGUAAGUAAAAAUGACCAUUUACUAAUAUUAUAUCUAAAUGUAUAACAAUUAUGAAUUCUUAUUUAUAUAAUCCACCUUAUUACAAACCUAAAUUUUUUGGCAAUCAUGUAGAAAAAAAAAAAAACGAAAAUCAGAUAAAUAUAUGUUCACAUAUUCAAGCCCAAUGUCCAUUACAAUUAUUCAAGUUUCUAUCAGUGAACAAACAUAUUAAUUAUAACAGUAAUACAAACAGUAACAAUUUUUACCAAUUAAAAAUCCAUCAAAACAAUAUUGUUCCUAAUCCAUCAAAAAAUAUUAAAAUAAGAAAUGACUUAAAAAGUGAUUAUAAAAAAACAUUAAAUAAUACGAAUAAUUACUUUUGUAAUGCAAAUAAUAAUUUGGAUAAUAUAAAUAAAUGUUUUAAUAAAAAUAACAAUAAUUCGAAAUAUAUCAAUGUAAACUAUUAUCCCCAAACGAAUUAUAAUCUUCUGAAUACCUCUAUGUUUAAUAAUAAAAAUAAUAUAUAUACAAAUAAAAAUUUGGUACCUACGGUAAAAGAUUCCCUAAGUCUUUUAAAUUCAAAACAACUUAGAAAACAAAAUAGUAAUUUAUAUAAAAUUUUUAUAGAAAAAUGUAAAAGAGUUAUUAUAUUUGAUUUAGACGAUACCCUUAUCCCUACUUGUUGGUUAAGGUCAAUAAUAUUAUAUAAAAAUAAUUAUAACUAUGAAGAAACAAUAAUAGAAUUAAAAAAAGAAAUUAAAUUAAAUAAAGAGUAUGAUAUAGAAUUAACAGCUUGUUCAGUAAUUAAAUUGGCCAUGUCUUUAUCACAUACCGUUUGUAUUGUUACUAAUGCAAGAAGUGAUAGAUGGGUAAAUACCGUAAGGUGCUUAUUUCCUCAACUUUCGAAACUGCUUGACGAUAUGCAUAUUCCUAUUAUAAGAACAGAUCAAUUCAAUGAACCUCCCUCUUCUAAUGUUAUGCAGUACUUUCGAUUUUGGAUGAAUGCUAAGGUAAUUUAUUUAACAUUAUUGGAAAUAAAAAAUAGAAAUAAAAAAAAAAAAUAAAAAGGAAAAAAAAAAAAAAACGUGUGUACUUAAUUAUAUAUACAAAUAUGACCACAUUGUAUAUAUAAUGUACACAUAUUUAU
rnacentral:lncRNA from 1 species